UCCAGCAGCUGAUCAAAGACGCUGGACGUCAGUGUAAUCCAGAGGACAGAGACACAGAAACAACUGUAGUUUACAGCUGUGCUUCCUGAACUUGUGUCAUAUGUGACUCUACAGACCCGUCAGUGAGACUCGAGCAUCUCUCCAUCAACUCCACAACACAAACCAUGGGCAGAAUUCAGUAAGGAGACAGCUGUUCCUGAGUCUGCUGGUCCUUGUCUGGAGGCUCCUGAAGGGUCAGGAGGUUAAACAGUCUAUGGUCAGGGUGAGAGGAGUCCUUGAGAAUGCUGCGAGCUCAAGUUCAGCGGUCAGCUUGGACGGAAU
ensembl:lncRNA